GCAGAUUCGGUACCCCUCGGGGUGUAACAGGGAAAUCGGGGAGCGCAGUCUACGCUGCGGCUCCACAAGCCGAUGCGGUCCCGCCGCCGUAAUGCUGAGGAUGCUCCAAUAUGUCACUGGGAAACCGGGAAGGCGGAGCGGACGAAGAUGCAGAGCCGGAAGACCUACCGAAUC
rnacentral:ncRNA from 1 species